rfam:Drosophila persimilis strain MSH-3 cont1.009135, whole genome shotgun sequence.
AAAUCGGUCCUUUUCAGGACCACCAAAAAUUUAUGGAGAGAGAUAU